rnacentral:rRNA from 1 species
GAUGAACGCUAGCUACAGGCUUAACACAUGCAAGUCGAGGGGCAGCAUGGUCUUAGCUUGCUAAGGCCGAUGGCGACCGGCGCACGGGUGAGUAACACGUAUCCAACCUGCCGUCUACUCUUGGACAGCCUUCUGAAAGGAAGAUUAAUACAAGAUGGCAUCAUGAGUCCGCAUGUUCACAUGAUUAAAGGUAUUCCGGUAGACGAUGGGGAUGCGUUCCAUUAGAUAGUAGGCGGGGUAACGGCCCACCUAGUCUUCGAUGGAUAGGGGUUCUGAGAGGAAGGUCCCCCACAUUGGAACUGAGACACGGUCCAAACUCCUACGGGAGGCAGCAGUGAGGAAUAUUGGUCAAUGGGCGAGAGCCUGAACCAGCCAAGUAGCGUGAAGGAUGACUGCCCUAUGGGUUGUAAACUUCUUUUAUAAAGGAAUAAAGUCGGGUAUGGAUACCCGUUUGCAUGUACUUUAUGAAUAAGGAUCGGCUAACUCCGUGCCAGCAGCCGCGGUAAUACGGAGGAUCCGAGCGUUAUCCGGAUUUAUUGGGUUUAAAGGGAGCGUAGAUGGAUGUUUAAGUCAGUUGUGAAAGUUUGCGGCUCAACCGUAAAAUUGCAGUUGAUACUGGAUAUCUUGAGUGCAGUUGAGGCAGGCGGAAUUCGUGGUGUAGCGGUGAAAUGCUUAGAUAUCACGAAGAACUCCGAUUGCGAAGGCAGCCUGCUAAGCUGCAACUGACAUUGAGGCUCGAAAGUGUGGGUAUCAAACAGGAUUAGAUACCCUGGUAGUCCACACGGUAAACGAUGAAUACUCGCUGUUUGCGAUAUACUGCAAGCGGCCAAGCGAAAGCGUUAAGUAUUCCACCUGGGGAGUACGCCGGCAACGGUGAAACUCAAAGGAGUUGACGGGGGCCCGCACAAGCGGAGGAACAUGUGGUUUAAUUCGAUGAUACGCGAGGAACCUUACCCGGGCUUAAAUUGCAGAUGAAUUACGGUGAAAGCCGUAAGCCGCAAGGCAUCUGUGAAGGUGCUGCAUGGUUGUCGUCAGCUCGUGCCGUGAGGUGUCGGCUUAAGUGCCAUAACGAGCGCAACCCUUGUUGUCAGUUACUAACAGGUUCCGCUGAGGACUCUGACAAGACUGCCAUCGUAAGAUGUGAGGAAGGUGGGGAUGACGUCAAAUCAGCACGGCCCUUACGUCCGGGGCUACACACGUGUUACAAUGGGGGGUACAGAGGGCCGCUACCACGCGAGUGGAUGCCAAUCCCCAAAACCUCUCUCAGUUCGGACUGGAGUCUGCAACCCGACUCCACGAAGCUGGAUUCGCUAGUAAUCGCGCAUCAGCCACGGCGCGGUGAAUACGUUCCCGGGCCU